rnacentral:rRNA from 1 species
GUGGGGAAUUUUGGACAAUGGGCGCAAGCCUGAUCCAGCAAUGCCGCGUGCAGGAAGAAGGCCUUCGGGUUGUAAACUGCUUUUGUACGGAACGAAACGGUCCUGGUUAAUACCUGGGGCUAAUGACGGUACCGUAAGAAUAAGCACCGGCUAACUACGUGCCAGCAGCCGCGGUAAUACGUAGGGUGCGAGCGUUAAUCGGAAUUACUGGGCGUAAAGCGUGCGCAGGCGGUGCUGUAAGACAGGCGUGAAAUGCCCGGGCUCAACCUGUGAAUUGCGCUUGUGACUGCAGUGCUGGAGUACGGCAGAGGGGGAUGGAAUUCCGCGUGUAGCAGUGAAAUGCGUAGAUAUGCGGAGGAACACCGAUGGCGAAGGCAGUCCCCUGGGCCUGUACUGACGCUCAUGCACGAAAGCGUGGGGAGCAAACAGGAUUAGAAACCCCAGUAGUCC